UGAGAGGAUGCCUCUCUUUUGCAGGAACACCCUGGUCACAUUCACACCGUUACGCAUUCACACAUGGAAGCUGCCCAGUACAAGCACAAUCCGAUCUGUUGGCCACUGAGCAGCUUCACUGGAGCUUGCAGUUCUUCUUGAUC